ensembl:lncRNA
UUACAAGAUUAAAACAUUUGAAAAUUUUUAUUAAAAAAAUUUCAAAAGACUCCAAAGUCAAGAGCACAAUGUAGUAGGGUGCGCCCCCCCCACCCCCGCCCCAAUCAGCUUCAACUACCAUCAACAACUUCUGCUUGUUUCAUUAUCCCCAUCUCUCCUUUUUUCUGGAGUAUUUCAAAAUAAAUGCCAAACAUUAUGUCCUCCACCUAUAAGUACUUCAGGAUGUGUUUUUACCCAAAAAGACAUUUUCUUACAUAAUCACACCUAAAAUUAACAAUAAUUCCUUUAUUAAAAAAUCUUCAAGGAAAAAAAUUCCCCACACUCCCACCACCAUUCAAACCCCUGUGAUCGCACUUCUCCCCUCCCAGUUCUGCAGGAGUGUGCAGGGCUCGGUUCCAGAGUCGCAAGCACAGGGACUCUCCCUUGUUCCCUCCCCCUCUUAACAUUGUGUCAUGUUCAGUUCUAUGCAGCCCCAUCAUCUUAACCAGGGGAGUGGGAUGAUUUUCAUAUACCUUUAAAAAUACCCUCCUUAUAGACCAAUUAUCCCUUAUGAAUAUUGAUGCAAAAAUCGUCAAUAAAACAAUAGCCAACCAAAUUCUGCUGCAUAUUAAAAGGAUUCUACAUCAUGACCAAACAGGAUUUAUUCCCAGAAUGCAAGGAUGGUUCAACAUAUAAAGAUCAACCAAUGUAAUACAACACAUUAACAGAAUGAAGAGUAAAAAAAACCCAUACAAUCAUCUCAAUUGAUGCAAAAAACCUUUUGACAAAGUUUAAUGCCCUUUCAUGAUAAAAACACUCAAUGAACUAGGAAUAGAAGCAAACUUCCUCAAAUAUGAUAAAGGCCAUAUAUGAAAACCCAUGGUGAACAUCAUACUCAGUGGUGUAAGACUGAAAACUUUUUCCAUAAGAUCAGGAACAAGACGAGGAUGCCCAUUUUUGUGCUUCUAUUCAACAUAGUAUUGAAAGUCCUAGCCAGAGGAAUUAGGCAAGAAAAGAAAGAAAAGGCAUCCAAAUUGGAAAGGAAAAAGUAAAAUUAUCUUUGUCCACAGAUGACAUGGUCUUAUACACAGAAAACCCUAAAGAUUUAAUGCCAAAAAAACCUAUUAGAGCUAAUAAACAGUUUAUCCAGCAAAGGCGUAGGAUACAAAAUCAACACACAAAAACCAGUUGCAUUUCUAUACACUAACAAUGAAUCUGAAAAGGAAAUUAAGGAAACAAUUCCAUUUACAAUAACUUGAAAAAAUAGUUAGGGAUUAACUUAACCAUGAGGCAAAAGACGUACAGGGAAAAUUGCAAAACAUUGCUUAAAGAAAUUAAAGAAAACAUAAAUAUGGAAGGACAAUCAGUGUAAACGGACUGGAAAACAAUAUUGUUAAGGUGACAAUACUACUCAAAACAUUCUACAGCUUCAAUGCAAUCUCUAUCAAACUCCCAACAGCAUUUUUUGCAGAAAUAGAAAAACCCCUCUUAAAACUCAUAUGGAAUCUCAAGGGAUCGUGAAUAGCCAAUAGGUCGCUUGUUCCUUCUCCCUUCUUGUCGGUACAUCUCUCCCACUGAGGCUGAAGGGCGUGCCCAGGCCUGAGGGUUUCUCCGAACUUGGGACUUUGAGUGCUAAAACCAAGACGGUCCCAGGCAAACUGAGCUGGUUGGGAGUCCUACUCCUACUGUGACUGAAUGCUCUAAAAAUUAUUUUUUAAUUUCGCAAGUAAAAUUAUGACACAUUCUUCUCAUACAAAUAAAACAUUAAACCAGUAAAAGGAACCAGGGCUCCUUGGAGAAACGGCUGAUUCCAAGUCUGGGAUACAGACAGUAUAAGACGAUCCGGGAACAAGUGGUACUAGAAAGUAAGGCAGUGCUCACAAGUUGCGACCUGUUGCAAGGACACGGAGCCCGCUUGGAGGAGCUCCCACCGGCUAAACGCGCCGCCAUCUGAGCAUCUGAGUCAACGAGGAGAGUGACGGACUGAGUAAAACAGGAAUCCACGGAUCCGCAGGCUAACGAACGCAGCCUUCGCCAGACCACACAGCUAGCGCGUGGAGCAGGGACGAUGGGAACAGAAAAGCAGGAGGAUGGCCAUUCAUUUAGCCAAGAAACGCCGACGAAACCCAGCGAGGGGGGAAGUCUGAGGAUCGGCAGGGUGUCUGCCUCGUCUCAAGGGGUCUGCGCCCGGGACGACCAUCGCAAGGGGACCCUGCGCCCCGCGAGAGCCGUGCUGCGGGGGUCGGCGCGGGGCCGCGUGGCGGGUCCCGAGUGGGUCGCCGGCCCCGCGCGGUCGCCUCCCUCGGCGAUCGUCCCUGGCGCGCCGGCUUCUGCCCCAUCCCAGGAACGCGAGUGCGCCGCGCGUCUCCGCCAGCAGCCCGCCCCGUCGGCGUGCAGUCCUAGCCCCGCCCCGCCCCGCCGGCCCUCGGCCCCCUGACGCUCGGGAGCUCCACGAGGGCAGCGCGGCGCAGACCCGAGUGGGCCCUUAGCGGUCCAGCCGACCCACUGUCAGCCAGACCUCGCGGGCCCGGGGCGUGGGCCCCGGAAG